AUUGAACGCUGGCGGCAUGCCUUACACAUGCAAGUCGAACGGUAACAGGUCUUCGGAUGCUGACGAGUGGCGAACGGGUGAGUAAUACAUCGGAACGUGCCUAGUAGUGGGGGAUAACUACUCGAAAGAGUGGCUAAUACCGCAUGAGAUCUACGGAUGAAAGCAGGGGAUCGCAAGACCUUGUGCUACUAGAGCGGCCGAUGGCAGAUUAGGUAGUUGGUGGGAUAAAAGCUUACCAAGCCGACGAUCUGUCGCUGGUCUGAGAGGACGAUCAGCCACCCUGGGACUGAGAAACGGCCCAGACUCCUGCGGGAGGCAGCAGUGGGUAAUUUUGGACAAUGGGCGCAAGCCUGAUCCAGCAAUGCCGCGUGCAGGAUGAGGGCCUUCGGGUUGUAAACUGCUUUUGUACGGAACGAAAAGCCCCGGGUUAAUACCCUGGGGUCAUGACGGUACCGUAAGAAUAAGCACCGGCUAACUACGUGCCAGCCGCCGCAGUAA
rnacentral:rRNA from 1 species